CCUACGGGAGGCAGCAGUGGGGAAUAGUGGGCAAUGGACGCAAGUCUGACCCAGCAACGCCGCGUGAAGGAAGAAGGCUUUCGGGUUGUAAACGUCUUGUAAGGGGGAAGAGCAGAAGACGGUACCCCGGGAAUAAGCCACGGCUAACUACGUGCCAGCAGCCGCGGUAAUACGGAGGUGGCAAGCGUUGUCCGGAUUGACUGGGUGGAAAGGGCGUGCAGCCGGAGAGACAAGUCAGAGGUGACAUCCACGGGCUCAACCCGUUAACUGCAUUUGAAACUGUUUCCCUUGAGUGUCGGAGAGGUCAUCGGCCUUCCUUGUGUAGCGGUGAAAUGCGUAGCUAUCAGG
rnacentral:rRNA from 1 species